UUCCUCUAAGAGACACUAUAAACUUCAACCUGAACACAAGUUUAACCUGAACACAGUUCAACAAGCUGAAGAAUGAAGACACUGCUGCUGUCUCUGCUCUGUCUGUGUGUGUGGAGUCAGUCCACAGAAGCUUUAACUGAUCAGCAGGUGCUUCUAGGACACAAUGUGACUUUAGCCUGUGAGUUUAAAUGUAAAGCCGCUAUAUGGUUUUUGAUGAAACUGCCAGCUCGUCCAAUGAUGAUAAUGCGAACAUUCGGAUCUGAAGAGACUGAUUAUUAUGAUGAAACAUACCGGAACAAAUAUUUAGAGGGAGACAGGAGCGAAAUGAUAAUCAAUAAUGUCAGUGUUGAUGAUUUGGGAAUUUAUUACUGUAUAAAAGCAGGCUGGGCUUUAAAGAUCAGUGACGGUAUCAGACUGCACACCGCUGAAGUCUGACAUGAACUUCAGUGAGUAUGACUGAGGAAUAACAUCCAUUAAGACCAGCAGCACUGACAGAUCCUGAAUAUCUACAAGUUCAGUCAAACUCUGUGUAUAAAACCACUUCUUACUGAGAGAUUGUGUUGAUUUAUCGCUGUUUGCUUCAAAUGAUCAGAACUGAGAGAUGCUUGUAAUGAAAUUAUAAUUCCCAAAGACUUUAAAAAAAUGAAUUGCUCUUGUCUGUUCAUAAUAAAACAUUUGCUGAAACGUUUACUUUUAACCUUUUUAUUGAUAAAACUCUUGAGAGUUUACCUCAGUUAGUAUCUGGUAUUUCCUUUUUCUUCUUCACUUGUGUUUUUUUGGAAAUUCUGUGCAGAAGAUGUGUACUAGCGCCCUCCAAAGUAUAAUAAUGAAAACACAGAUUCUAGGAGUAUAGCUCAAAUAUAUUUAGAAUUUUUGUAAGUAUAAGUCAAGUUUACUUUUAUGUUUAUAUUUUAAGUGCACCUCUAAUUUUAACUCUUCUAAGAAGUGCCUGGUUAUUGUUUUACUGAUCAUUAUGGAGGAAUCGCUACCCGGUCACAUCAUACAUGAAAUGUAUGCAGUUAUGAACGUAACCUUGGUUCCUUUUUUCCUUGAUACUGAAGCCUUUUUUCAAUAACGCAGUGCAACUGCACUGCCAUUGGUUUAGUGCUUGCAUAGCUGCGCGAGCCUAUGGUGAUGCAGCGUGCCAAAGCCCACCAAAAUAGGCGGGGCAAAUGGCUAUAUAAGCAGGCAAAUCGACAUAGGAAUUCAGUUCAUACGACUGAAGAGACGACACUGAAGCUGCAGUGUCGAAUUCAAACGAACU